CACGUAGGCACCAAGCGUUGUCCGGAUUUAUUGGGCGUAAAGAGCUCGUAGGCGGUUCGGUUAGUCGGGUGUGAAAACUUUGGGCUCAACCCAAAGCGUGCACUCGAUACUGCCGUGACUAGAGUUCGGUAGGGGAGUGGGGAAUUCCUAGUGUAGCGGUGAAAUGCGCAGAUAUUAGGAGGAACACCGGUGGCGAAGGCGCCACUCUGGGCCGAAACUGACGCUGAGGAGCGAAAGCGUGGGGAGCGAACAGG
rnacentral:rRNA from 1 species